CCCCACGAGAACCUGACGGACGCUGGAGACCCCAGGUGGGGCCCCCUCGGCCCUGCUCACGGCCCAGUGUCUGCUGGGAUGGCUCAGGGGUGGUCGUGCUCAGGGGCUCCGACAGGACGGGAGGUGAAAUGGGCCAGGGUGGCAGAGGGGACAGCAGAGAGGGGAGCCCGGGGACAGCAGGGGGACGGCCAGGGGGCAGGGGGAGGCCGGCUGGACGCUGGGCAGUCAGGCCCUGGGGAGGCGGGGGGACCUCAGCGGGACGGUCACGGGGCACCCGGGCCACGCUGACAGCUCUCGGGCUGGUCCAUCGAGGAGGGGGGCAGGUCACCCCCUGGGGGCGCCGAGGGGUCCCCGCCCAGCCCACCACCGGCAAACACCCUCCUCAGACCCCCCAGACGCCGCCCCCGCCCGCCCUCAGGCCGCUGGCAGCCCCUGCCCUCCCCGGGGGAGCCCUGCCCUCCCCAGGACGCUGGGUGCAGACGGGGUGUGUGUGUGUGUGUGUGUGUGUGUGGGGCCGGGGCCUCAGGGCUCUGCGUCUCCUGCCUUCCAGGGACAGGGAGCUGCCCGACCCCAGCCCCCGCGAGGCCAAGAAACUCCGCCAGGAGACCCGGCGCGCGGACAAAUGGAUAAAAAUGCUCAAGCGAUGGGACCACUACCUCCCCAGCGAGAAGCUGCGACGCUGGGUCUACAAGGGGGUCCCGCCCCAGGUGCGGGGACAGGUGUAGCUGCGAUUGCUGAACGUCGACCAGGUUAAGGCCAGGAAUGCCGGGAAAUACCAGGUGGGACCCGACCCGUCCACUCCCGGUGGACCCUUGGUCCCCUCCCUGCCCAGGGCUGACCCUCCAUGUCCCCUCCCCACCUGGGCUGAACUCCCGUNAUGUCCCCUCCCCACCGGGGCUGAACUCCCGUGUCCCCUCCCCACCUGGGCUGAUCCUCCAUGUCCCCUCCUUGUCCAGGGAUGACCCCCUGUCCCCUCCCCUCCAGGAUGAACCCCCAUGUUCCCACCCCACCCGGGCUGAACCCCCAUGUCUCCUCCCCACCCGGGUUGAUCCUCUAUGUCCCCUCCCUGUCCAGGGCUGACCCUCAGUCCCCUCCCCGCCCACGACAGCUGGGCACAGGCCCUCACGCAGGCCCCGCGGGCACGGUGGCACUCCUGCCGUCCCCGGCCUCCCAGGGGAAAGGUGGAGGUUCCUGCAGGACACACUCCCAUGGUGGCCCCAGGGCCCCCUGCCCAGGACGGCAGCUGCUGACAGGUCGGGGUCUGUGUCCCUGACGCCGGNGGUGGCCCCAGCCCCCUGCCCAGGACGGCAGCUGCUGACAGGUCAGGGUCUGUGUCCCUGACGCCGGCUUCUCCUCCCCGGGUCUCCCCGCGCGAAAUGAAGGAGGCGGCCCUGGUCUCCUCCCGGGACAUCGUGCAGAUCGACCUGGACGUCAACCGCAC
rnacentral:lncRNA from 1 species